rfam:Mustela putorius furo unplaced genomic scaffold scaffold00364, whole genome shotgun sequence.
CCAAAGGCUCUUUUCAGAGCCACCACCUGGCCACAAAGGGUGCUGU